GGGAGAUAGGGCAACUGUCUUCAAGUAUAUGAAGAGCUGUCGUGUAGAAGAAGGAUUGAGUAUAUUCUGUUUGACUUCCAACAGCUGAACGAGAAGGAAUGGAUGAAAAUUGCAAAUGAGACAAAUUUAGAUUCACGAAGAUGAGGAGGCAGAGAAAAUCUAUGAAGAGCUUGAAAACACCCUGGAGGGUCAAUCUCCUUAUGCUUUGCUAUGUGACUUCAAAACACAGUUUUCUCAUCCAUAAAAUGGGAAUAAUAAUAGAACCUACUUCCCAAGGUUGUUGUCAGAAUCAAAUGAGGUAACUAUGGGAAAUGGCUCUUCCAACUGACCUGCUACUGUAACUUUUUUACAUGUUACAUCCACCAUUAGAAUCUGAGCUCCUUGAGAGCAAAGGCUCUUUAAUAAUUCUGUUUUUUAUCUCAAGUACUCAACAUAGUAUUCUGUACACAAAAAAUGCUUAAUAAAAGCUUCAUUCAUUUAUCA
rnacentral:lncRNA from 1 species